UUCCCUGGAAAGGGGCGCCA
rnacentral:snRNA from 1 species